rnacentral:rRNA from 1 species
GAAGAACCUUACCAAGGCUUGACAUGCACCGGGCGACUGCAGAGAUGUGGUUUUCUUCGGACUGGUGCACAGGUGGUGCAUGGUUGUCGUCAGCUCGUGUCGUGAGAUGUUGGGUUAAGUCCCGCAACGAGCGCAACCCUCGUUCUAUGUUGCCAGCACGUCAUGGUGGGGACUCAUAGGAGACUGCCGGGGUCAACUCGGAGGAAGGUGGGGACGACGUCAAAUCAUCAUGCCCCUUAUGAUCUGGGCUACACACGUGCUACAGUGGAUGGUACAACGAGUUGCGAGACCGCGAGGUUCAGCUAAUCUCCUAAAGCCAUUCUCAGUCCGGAUUGCAGGCUGCAACUCGCCUGCAUGAAGCCGGAAUCGCUAGUAAUCGCGGAUCAGAACGCCGCGGUGAAUACGUUCCCGGGUCUUGUACACACGC